UACACAUCGACCCCUUUAUUCAUUUUUCUACUUUGAAUUUCUCGAUUCACCUUACAGAAUCUACUUUUGAGAAAAAAAUCCAUCAAAGUUUCUUCGUUUUCUGUGUUAAAAAGUUUGGAUCUUGGUAAUGACUGUAACUCCGGUGGGCAAUCAGGUGGUGGAAGUUCCACCGUUGAAUACUUUACCCAUUGGAUAUCGUUUUCGUCCUACGGAUGAGGAGCUUAUCAAUCAUUAUUUGUGCUUGAAGAUCAAUGGUUGUCAUGAUCAAGUGGGUGUUAUUCGUGAAAUUGAUAUCUGCAAAUUCGAGCCCUGGGAUUUGCCUGAUUUGUCUGUUGUAGAGUCAAAUGACAACGAGUGGUUCUACUUCUGCCCGAUAGACAGGAAGUACCAAAAUGGGCAGCGAUUGAACCGAGCAACAGAACGAGGAUACUGGAAAGCUACUGGUAAAGAUAGAAACAUAGCUACUAGAAAGGGGGCAAAGAUUGGGAUGAAGAAGACUUUGGUGUACUACAAUGGGCGAGCUCCUGAAGGGAAGAGGACCAAUUGGGUGAUCCAUGAAUAUCGUGCAACUGACAAGUCAUUGGAUGGUUCACGCCCUGGACAGGGAGCCUUUGUGCUUUGUCGUCUCUUUAAGAAGAAUGAAUUGAAGCAAGAUGAAAAUGUCGAAAGUUCACAUUUUGAUGAAGUUGAACAUCUUGUUUCUUCUCCUGCUGUUGGAAUAUCACCAACCGAUGAUGGAUUAUCAGCAGUGGCUCUAUCUCCAAUCAUGGAAAGUGAGAGUAAUAAAAGUAACCCACCAAAAACCUCUGGAUGCAAAACUCAUGACACAAGAUUAUCUAUUGAUAGUUGUGGCAAUAGUUGCACUGCUGGUGAUGGUGAAGAUUUGAUGGUGGACAUAACAUCAGGACAACCAGAUCUCCAGAUAGAGGAAUUGUUGGGACUCUUUCGCGACCCUUCACCAGAGCCUAUUGAUUGGUCUCCGUUGCAUUCACAGUCGCAGGUGGAGUUUGGAUCUUCUAUCUCACAUGGUACCAUGAGCAAUGAGAUAAACUGUGAUCAAAAGGAUGUCCAGUGUCAGAAUGUAAUAAAUGAUCUCAAUACGAAUGAGUUUCUAAAUUCAAUUCUUGUCAGCUCUGAUGAGUUUUCAUAUGAAGAUUCUGAAAAGGAAUUGAGGUCAAUGUGGUUUGCCUCGAACAGUAUUAACACUAUAACAACGGCACCAGUUACGGAUUCUGGAACGUGUAGUGUGUUGAAGUCACAAGUCACACAAGAGCCAGUUAGGAGAGAUAUAUUUGAACCUGAGCUGCUGUUGGGAAAUUGUGGAGAGACUGCAUUAAUGAGAGAGGUUAAUUCUGUUGCAACCUCAGUGGACGAGGUGUUUGCAACACCUUAUUUUCGCAAUGAUCACUCAAUGGGGAAUGUAGGCACUGAUUCUGCUUUUGGAAUAACACUAAGGACUCGGCGGACGCAGAAUCAACCUGACAACAGCCAGCCCGGAUCUGGAAUGCAAGGAACUACUGUUAGAAGAAUACGUUACCAAGUGAAACUUCAAACCGGAAGAGUAGAGCGUCGCAUGCCGACUGAUUCUGAUCAGGGUGGAGCAAAUCAUGAAGGACUGUCAGCUGUAUCUGAGAGUGAAAAGUUCUCCAAUGAAGAUAGUUCUUCUUUGAGUGCUGCUAUCUCCAGUGAUGUGACACAAGAUACCAUGUGCAAAGAAUUAAAAGGGGAUCGUCAAAUGGCUGAAGACUUGAGGAGUGCAAAUGUGAAAGAUACAAAUGCUUUAAAGAGAGCAGCAUUGUCUUCGUUUUCAUUAAGUUUCUACAUAUCCAAGGUGUUCGCUGUUGCAAGUUUACUCAUAGUCUUCUUAGGUGUUUGUGGAUUCUUUAAGCUGAGACAGUCUGCAUCCAAAUUGUAGCUUCUUGUAACUGGCUUAACAUGUUUUGUUGAUUUUAUCUCCUUUUCAAAUACUGCAAAGGAGCUAAAGUUGAGAAAACUUAAAAGUUACUACUAGUGUAUACUUUAUAUUAUAAUUAGCUUGUUUUGUACAUUACUAGCACUAUAUUGUGCAAGGAGAUGUAGUUACUUUAGACUUUUUUCCAAAGAUUUUCAUUUGGCAUUUUGACUUCACUCAAUAGAU
rnacentral:misc_RNA from 1 species